rnacentral:rRNA from 1 species
GAUGAACGCUAGCGGCAGGCUUAAUACAUGCAAGUCGAGGGACAGCACAGGUAGCAAUACUGGGUGGUAACCGGCAAACGGGUGCGGAACACGUACACAACCUUCCUUUAAGUGGGGGAUAGCCCAGAGAAAUUUGGAUUAAUACCCCGUAAUAUAGUUGAAUGGCAUCAUUUGAUUAUUAUAGCUACGGCGCUUAAUGAUGGGUGUGCGACUGAUUAGAUAGUUGGCGGGGUAACGGCCGACCAAGUCUACGAUCAGUAGCUGAUGUGAGAGCAUGAUCAGCCACACGGGCACUGAGACACGGGCCCGACUCCUACGGGAGGCAGCAGUAAGGAAUAUUGGUCAAUGGACGCAAGUCUGAACCAGCCAUGCCGCGUGAAGGAUUAAGGUCCUCUGGAUUGUAAACUUCUUUUAUUUGGGACGAAAAAGGGCCUUUCUAGGUCAACUGACGGUACCAGAUGAAUAAGCACCGGCUAACUCCGUGCCAGCCGCCGGAGUAAAAC